CUAUCAAGCACAUUAACAUCCAGAAAGAGGCAGAGGUGGUUCUCCUGAAUGAAAUCAGGUUCAUCAAGGGGAACAAGAGCCCAAACCUUGUCAACUACUUAGACAGCUACAUGGCAGGUGAGGAGCUGCUGAUUGUGAUGGAGUGCCUGGAUGGAGGGUCCUUGGCCGAUGUUGUCCUGGAGAUGUGGAUAGAGGAAGAGCAGACAGCAGCCAUCUGUAGGGAGUGUCUGCAGGGCCUGGACUUCCUGCACUCCAACAGCAUCGUCCACCGUGACAUCAAAAGCUACAACAUCCUGCUGGGCAU